rnacentral:lncRNA from 1 species
AAUAGAUAUAGGAAGAUGUGGUGUGAGUGCCAAUGAGACAACUCUCCAUACAAAUAACAAUUUAAAAAGUAAACCAUUAUAGGUUAAAGUACGGCCUUCAACACGGAGCCUUAGCUCACACCGAACAACAAGCUAUAAAGGGCCCCAAAAUUACUAGUGUAAAACCAUUCAAACGGGAAAACCAACGGUCUAAUCUAUAUUAACAAAACGAGAAACGAGAAACACGUAUAUAUUACAUAAACAAACGACAACUACUGUACAUCAGAUUCCUGACUUAGGACAGGUGCAAACAUUUGCAGCGGGAUUAAACGUUUUAAUGGAUCCAAACC